UUCUGUAUGUUUAGUCGGAAUCUCUUUUCUUGUAACUUGAAUCCAUUGGUUCGAGUCCUGCCCUCUGGAGCAGGAGAAAACAAGCUUGCUCUGUUUUCCAUUUGAGGGCCCUUUAGAUAUUUGAAGAUGGCUAUCGUAUCUACUGUCAGCCUCCUCUUUUCCAGGCUAAGCAUACCCAGAUCCUUCAACCGUUCCUCAUCCAGAACCAGUGUGGUGUAGUGGUUAAGAGCGGUAGACU